CCAAGAGACUCGUAUGGCUUUCUCGUUCGCGUGAAUUAAAAUAAUAAGACUUGAAAAAUAAAAAUUAAUAAAUUGGUUUUAAGACAUAAUAUAUUAACAUGCAAAGAUAAAGUUGAUUCAAUUGACAAACGAAAACAAUGGAGGAAUGAAUGUUGUUGGAUACUAACAAUUUCAUCUUUUCCGCUCUCUCUUACAUACUACCCUUGAAUAUUAGAUUGAUUCAAUUGUUAUGCGACUUUCUUAGCCUCCCCUUAACCCGAUCCCUCGGCGAAAAGGGCCUAAUAUUAACUACUGGCUUGCUAUCCCUAGCCUCCCCUAGUAAUUAAUACCGCAUUAUAAACAGAAGUUAGC
rnacentral:lncRNA from 1 species